AGCGAACGCUGGCGGCAGGCUUAACACAUGCAAGUCGAGCGGGCAUCCUUGUGGUGUCAGCGGCAGACGGGUGAGUAACGCGUGGGAACGUGCCCUUCGGUUCGGAAUAACUCAGGGAAACUUGAGCUAAUACCGGAUACGUGCGAGAGCAGAAAGGUUUAUCUGCCGAAGGAUCGGCCCGCGUCUGAUUAGCUAGUUGGUGAGGUUACGGCUCACCAAGGCGACGAUCAGUAGCUGGUCUGAGAGGAUGAUCAGCCACACUGGGACUGAGACACGGCCCAGACUCCUACGGGAGGCAGCAGUGGGGAAUAUUGGACAAUGGGGGCAACCCUGAUCCAACCAUGCCGCGUGAGUGAUGACGGCCUUAGGGUUGUAAAGCUCUUUUCUCCGGGACGAUAAUGACGGUACCGGAGGAAUAAGCCCCGGCUAACUUCGUG
rnacentral:rRNA from 1 species